rnacentral:ncRNA from 1 species
AUUAUCAAGAGUGGUCGAGGGACUGGCCCUGUGAAGCCACAGCAACCUGCUUUAGUAAGGUGCUAAAACCUGCGGUGUAACCGAGUGAUG